ensembl:snRNA U6 U6 spliceosomal RNA
GUGCUCACUUCAGCAGCACAUAUACUAAAAUUGGGAAGAUAAAGACUCGGAUUAGCAUGGUCCCUGUGCAAGGAUGACGCACAAAUUCAUGAAACUUUGCAUAUUUUU